GAGAGAGAGAGAGAGGAGAGAGAGAGAGAGAGAGAGAGAAGAGAGAGAGAGAGAGAGAGAGAGAGAGAGAGAGCGCGCAAAUAUGCGUUACGCACAUUUUCUCAAUAACUACUAGUGUUGAAAAAAUAUAUAUGUAUAAAUAUGUAAUAAAUAAUUAUGUAUAAACCGCCCGAGACAAAUUAGUAAACGAAUGUACUACAGUCACGAAUAAAACUCACUUGUUAUUACAGUUACCAAU